ACAGCUUGAACUAAGGAAACAAGCUUGUCAAGGGAUCGACUUAUAUUCAAGAUACAUCAUACACACAUCCAAUAAAUUAGUGAGACAGUGAAAGAAUGGGGCCUUGGGAAUAUCGCUAUCAGCAAAACGUUCCUCGCAGUACAGAAGCAUAAUGAAGGACAACAGAGCCUCAGGGAGCCUGGAACAUCCCUUUUUGCUCCAGAAUAAUAAAGGCUGAAAAUGGGGAUGAGAAAGAGAAAAAAUGAAAAGAUGUGAAAUCCACUGCUUUGAAGAACAACAUAUAUCAUAAAGCUUGCUGGAGGGUUAAAGGAAUUUUCUGGUUGUGCGGUGCUGCUGAUGGUAUCUGAUUACAGGCAGCAAAAUGAAAAUCUUGGCGCCUGAGGCAAGAGUUUACUGCCAUUAUCCCUGCACCCUGUCCCGGGGCUUGUUUUUUUUAAUCUUUACGCAUUAACUGACAAAUAUAGCAGCCGUUCUGCAGCUGAAUAUAGCUACACUCACUAGAAUAACCCCAUUUUCAUUAUCACUGUCCAACUCAGAAGGUAAGGAGAACUUCCACUGCAGAAUGACUGCUACUGGACCUCCAGCUUCAACUUUGUGCCUAAGUUUCAUUUAAAAGAUCUAAAAAAAAGUCUUGAUUUUAUACUUCAUGUGCUUACAUUUCCAGAAGUUUAGUACUCCCAGCCUGAUUUUGACCUAAAGGGAAGCAAGUCACCUAAUCAGCAACAUAAUUUUCUAAACCCUUUUCUAAGUUGAUUUCUACUACCAGCGCUUAAUCCCAGUGUUUCAGACUGCAGCUCAAAUAGGCAUGAUCACCGGAGGCAACUUCCAUCCCCAAGGCACAGCGUGCAUUUUCUUCCUGAUCCUCUCUCUUUUCAUAUCCUUGCCUAGUUCACCACCUCUGGCGGUUUUACAGAUGCUCUGUGGUUUUGUUCUGUUAGGCAAGAAAGAAAAGUGCUAAAAAUGCCUUUUCAUUGGCUUAACUCUUUAAGGGGUCAGAGUAGUGGAGACGGUUCCCCUUGAUACCAGUUUGAAUAAAUAAAUGGACUAAAGUG